rnacentral:rRNA from 1 species
CAGCCGCCACGGGAAUACGAAGGGGGCUAGCGUUGCUCGGAAUUACUGGGCGUAAAGGGAGCGUAGGCGGAUCGUUUAGUCAGGGGUGAAAUCCCGGGGCUCAACCUCGGGACUGCCUUUGAUACUGGCGAUCUUGAGUAUGGGAGAGGUGUGUGGAACUCCGAGUGUAGAGGUGAAAUUCGUAGAUAUUCGGAAGAACACCAGUGGCGAAGGCGACACACUGGCCCAUUACUGACGCUGAGGCUCGAAAGCGUGGGGAGCAAACAGGAUUAGAUACCCGAGUAGUCCCUGUCUCUUAUAC